GUGGGGAAUUUUGGACAAUGGGCGCAAGCCUGAUCCAGCGACGCCGCGUGGAGGACGAAGGCCUUCGGGUUGUAAACUCCUUUUGGAGGGGAAGAAUAAAUUGACGGUACCCUCAGAAAAAGCCACGGCUAACUACGUGCCAGCAGCCGCGGUAAUACAUAGGUGGCGAGCGUUACUCGGAAUUACUAGGCGUAAAGCGUAUGUAGGUGGUUAGAUAAGUCUAUGGUGAAAUUUCCUGGCAUAACUGGGAAGGGACAUAGAUACUAUCUGGCUUGAGUGUGGGAGGGGGAGACGGAAUUCCUGGUGUAGCGGUGAAAUGCGUAGAUAUCAGGAGGAACACCGAUGGCGAAAGCAGUCUCCUGGCCCAAUACUGACACUGAGGUACGAAAGCUAGGGUAGCAAACAGGAUUAGAAACCCGAGUAGUCC
rnacentral:rRNA from 1 species